rnacentral:rRNA from 1 species
AGCGGCCGCGGUAAUUCCAGCUCCAAUAGCGUAUAUUAAAGUUGUUGCAGUUAAAAGCUCGUAGUUGAAUUUCGGGAUCAAUUUGCUGGUCGUGCCUUCGGUACGCACUGGUAUUAUUGGUUUCUCCUUUCUGAUGAAUCGCGAUGUCAUUAAUUUGGUGUCGUGGGGAAUCAGGACCGUUACUUUGAAAAAUUAGAGUGUUUAAAGCAGGCUCACGCUUGAAUACAUUAGCAUGGAAUAAUGAAAUAGGACGUUUGAUUCUAUUUUGUUGGUUUCUAGGAUCGACGUAAUGAUUAAUAGGGAUAGUUGGGGGCAUUAGUAUUCAAUUGUCAGAGGUGAAAUUCUUGGAUUUAUUGAAGACUAACUACUGCGAAAGCAUUUGCCAAGGAUGUUUUCAUUAAUCAAGAACGAAAGUUAGGGGAUCGAAGACGAUCAGAUACCGUCGUAGUCUUAACCAUAAACUAUGCCGACUAGGGAUCGGAUGAUGUUAAUUUUUAAUGACUCAUUCGGCGCCUUAAC